rnacentral:rRNA from 1 species
AGGCCUUGCGCUCUUUGAGCGGCCGAUAUCAGAUUAGCUAGUUGGUGGGGUAAAAGCUCACCAAGGCGACGAUCUGUAGCGGGUCUGAGAGGAUGAUCCGCCACACUGGAACUGAGACACGGUCCAGACUCCUACGGGAGGCAGCAGUGGGGAAUUUUGGACAAUGGGGGCAACCCUGAUCCAGCCAUGCCGCGUGAGUGAAGAAGGCCUUCGGGUUGUAAAGCUCUUUCAGCCGGGAAGAAAACGCAUAGGCUAAUACCCUGUGUGAAUGACGGUACCGGAAUAAGAAGCACCGGCUAACUACGUGCCAGCAGCCGCGGUAAUACGUAGGGUGCGAGCGUUAACCGGAAUUACUGGGCGUAAAGCGUGCGCAGGCGGUUUUGUAAGACAGGCGUGAAAUCCCCGGGCUUAACCUGGGAACUGCGUUUGUGACUGCAAGGCUAGAGUACGGCAGAGGGGGGUGGAAUUCCACGUGUAGCAGUGAAAUGCGUAGAGAUGUGGAGGAACACCAAUGGCGAAGGCAGCCCCCUGGGUCGAUACUGACGCUCAUGCACGAAAGCGUGGGUAGCAAACAGGAUUAGAUACCCUGGUAGUCCACGCCCUAAACGAUGUCAACUAGGUGUUGGGAGGGUAAAACCUUUUAGUACCGGAGCUAACGCGUGAAGUUGACCGCCUGGGGAGUAUGGCCGCAAGGUUAAAACUCAAAGGAAUUGACGGGGACCCGCACAAGCGGUGGAUGAUGUGGAUUAAUUCGAUGCAACGCGAAAAACCUUACCUACCCUUGACAUGUCAGGAACUUUCCAGAGAUGGAUUGGUGCUCGAAAGAGAACCUGAACACAGGUGCUGCAUGGCUGUCGUCAGCUCGUGUCGUGAGAUGUUGGGUUAAGUCCCGCAACGAGCGCAACCCUUGUCGUUAAUUGCCAUCAUUAAGUUGGGCACUUUAGCGAGACUGCCGGUGACAAACCGGAGGAAGGUGGGGAUGACGUCAAGUCCUCAUGGCCCUUAUGGGUAGGGCUUCGCACGUCAUACAAUGGUCGGUACAAAGGGUUGCCAACCCGCGAGGGGGAGCUAAUCCCAUAAAGCCGAUCGUAGUCCGGAUUGCAGGCUGCAACUCGCCUGCAUGAAGUCGGAAUCGCUAGUAAUCGUGGAUCAGCAUGUCACGGUGAAUACGUUGCCGGGUCUUGUACACACCGCCCGUCACACCAUGGGAGCGGGUUCCGCCAGAAGUAGGUAACCUAACCGCAAGGGGGGCGCUUACCACGGCGGGGUUCGUGACUGGGGUGAAGUCGUAACAAGGUA